rnacentral:lncRNA from 1 species
AUGGCAGAGGCAGGGCAGCAUCCCCAGUGGCAACAGGCCCAUUUGGAGCAGAGGUGCCUUUUUUCCCUGGAGACAGGAUUGGCAAUAAUUGCCAACACCUUCUGCCUGGGAAUAGAGAUUUGCAGAUCUUCUUCAGGCUGCAACAGCAGCUAUUCCAGUCAGCAGCCUACAGCCACCUCCAGAUGGGUACCUCUGCAAACCCUUCAGGGGUUGGAAUCCAACAGUCAUCAAGGGUGGGCACAAGGAGAGCUGCCCUUCACCUCCUGCCAAGUCUGUGCCAGUGACUUGGAGAGUCCUGAGUCUGCCAGCUCCUCAUCUGGGAUGCACGAGGGCAUCAUUGUCUCCAGGGCAAUGCCACAGUGCCCCUCAGCCCUGACCCCCAGGGUGCCCGAGGGAGCCAGCAAGUGAAUGCAGGCACAGGAAGGAUUCUCUGCUGAACUGUGGGCACAGGAACUCUGGCCAUCACCUGCUGCUCUCAGCAGCCAGCACACACCUUGGACGUGCAGCUCAGCCUGUGGGAUCAGUGCUGGGAUGGGGAAAGUGGAAGCUGUGGGUCUGCAGUGGGAUGUGUCUGUGCUGCUGACAGCUGCUGUCUCCCAGGAGCUCUGUGCCAUUUGAGCAGAGAAUCAUUGCAGAGGCAGAUAAAAUAGCCAAGGGCAAACACAGCCCUUUGCAGCUCUUCUCUCACCCCCUCCAAAAGCAAUAUGACAUUUCCAGUGCUCUUAGCUCUGCCUGGUGGUACAGACCCACCUGCAGGAGCCAGCACCAAACUCCUCUGCAGCAGGGAGGAGAGCAAUGAAGCCUUCAGAGAAUCACAAAGGUUGGAAAAGACCUUCAAGAUCAUCAGGUCCAAGCAUUAAUCCAGCACUGCUCCCUCAGAUGCUGGAGGAGUCAGGGCCAGGCACCCAGACCCAUGUUCUGGUAUCCAGGAGAGGGGUGCCCUGCAGGUGAGGAGGAGUAGGGGAGGUUUUAGUGGCAGCUACAGCAUGAGGAGCAUUUCAAACACUUGGAGCCUCAGCUCUCAACAAGAACCAGGUACCCAGUGCAUGGGAGAACUUGAUCCUGGCACUCUCCAAAGGGAUGAUGGCAUUCCAGCAUUGAGGAGCCUGAAGAUAAAUAAGCAGAUGCAAUUCCAGGCAGUCACCUUCCCAGUUUGCUGCAGGCCUGCUGUUCCAGGUGCCUUGCAUGGCUGCACACAGGCUGCUGGCCUGGCAGAGUGGCCAAUCAAUCAACCAUUUCAAUUGUUUCACUGAUUUAUUGAUGUCCCUGCACUACCACAGGGGCCGUGACCCCUCCUGCAGCAAGAGGAACCAGAUCAUGGUAGUUACAGACAAUACCAGAGUGGUCAAACUGGAAACAGCUGACCCCAGGGCUUGCCUGUGCAAACCCAUUUAACUCCAGGCAUUUU